rnacentral:lncRNA from 1 species
AUCCCGGUUAUUCUGUCUCACAAAGUUGUAAAAAUAAAACAAAAUUUUAAAGUUCUAAAAAUAUAGUGAGAAAUGUGAAAGACUUUUGAUGAAGCAUUUUAUAAACCUGUUUAUUAUUAACAUACUGAUUUAAUAUAGACAUGGUCCGGAUUAAUCGAAGUUACUGGAGGAAAUGCAUUAGCUAGGUUUAGUAACUAGCUGCUUUAGUAGGCAAAUCUGAGCUUUCUCAAUGAAUUAACAGCCAAAUAUUUCCUCCUCUAUCAUAUCAUCAUCCAGUAUGUCAGGUGGAUCCCCUUUGUGGCUCUCAUUUAAUUCUGGAACCUGAGAUGCUUACAUCCUACAAUUGUGCCAUCUUCAAGUUCUUUGCUUCCAGCUCCACAGCCGGGGGGAGUGAACUCAGGACCUUCUGCUUGGAAGAUUUAUUCCUCUGCAGCCUCCUACAUUUCUUUUCCCUUUUAAUGAGACCAAACCAUUAAAUCGUUUCCAAUUUAAACUAAUACCUCUCAGGCUUUUUUGUAAUACUGUGUUUGCUUUCCUUCCUCUUCUUUUUUCU